rnacentral:misc_RNA from 1 species
UUAACUUAUUACAUAUUACUCAGACAACACAAAAAUCAAGAGUUUAGGGUCCUCUGGCAGGCGCGGACCAGCCGAAGCCAGUGGUCAAGAGACGGGCCUGCCAAAGCAACAAAGGUAAUGUAAACAAAGGGUGGGAGAUCUACCCUGAAGGGCAAUUUCUCUGUAAUGAUCCUUCCGCAGGUUCACCUACGGAAA